rnacentral:rRNA from 1 species
AUUGAACGCUGGCGGCAGGCCUAACACAUGCAAGUCGAACGAGUGGCGGACGGGUGAGUAAGGUCUGGGAAACUGCCUGAUGGAGGGGGAUAACUACUGGAAACGGUCGCUAAUACCGCAUACCAUCAGAUGUGCCCAGAUGUGAUUAGCUAGUUGGUGGGGUAACGCCUCACCAAGGCGACGAUCCCUAGCUGGACUGAGAGGAUGCCGGGCCACACUGGAACUGGGACACGAUCCAGACUCCUACGGGAGGCAGCGGUGGGGAAUAUUGCACAAUGGGCGCAAGCCUGAUGCAGCCAUGCCGCGUGUAUGAAGAAGGCCUUCGGGUUGUAAAGUACUUUCAGCGGGGAGGCGUUACCCGCAGAAAAAGCACCGGCUAACUCCGUGCCAGCAGCCGCGGUAAUAC